UGAAGCCAGACCGUCUUUCCUCACAGCUCCAGGGCUGCAUCUCCGUGGGCACGCCAAGCUUCCCCUGGUUACCUGAGCUGCUCCUGCCGUCUCCCGCCUGGGCUUCGCCAAGGUGCACCCGAUCCCGGAAUCGUGCGUCUGCGCCCUGCGAAAGAAGGACCUGCUGGCGGAGCUCCGGCCAGGGUCUCCUGCCUCGCAGCUGGGCGAGGGGACUUGGAGGACAGGGUGAAGCUGCAGAAGACCUGGGGUGGGAUGGCUAGAGAGGACGCCAAGGACUGGGGAAGGGGAAGUUAGGAAUACCUUACAUCCAAUGCCCACCCGUGCUCCACAGGGCAAGGGCAGCCGUCGCCUCCGCCGCGUGCACCCAGCUCAGGCUGUUCCCAGGGAUUUAGUCUGGGGGGACAACCCAUGGCGAGAUGUGGUGGCAUUUUACCUCAGAGUGGAGCUGAAGAUGGAUAAACAAGGGCACCGAGGAAGAGAACCAAUGGCAGAGGCCACAUGUGCAAGCAAGAUGGGAGUCUGGAGAGCCUCAGGCUAAAUCACGAGUGCUCAGCCCUCUCCUCUUUGUAAGGGCAACCGCGUCAUAUCUGCCAGCAUAGAACUGCUCUGUCCACAGCCCUAAAAUCUAAUACCUAGAACAAUAAAUGCACUUAAGUACGUCAAACUCUCUCAACCAGUGAUGAAAUCUGUCACUAGCGAAGGGACUUGUCCCAAGGGAGCUGAACACCUGCCCCUGCACCCUGACAAUGUAUAAGAAACAAGCACCACUGUGGAUGCA
rnacentral:lncRNA from 1 species